rnacentral:rRNA from 1 species
AUUGAACGCUGGCGGCAGGCUUAGCACAUGCAAGUCGAGCGGAGAUGAGGUGCUUGCACCUUAUCUUAGCGGCGGACGGGUGAGUAAUGCUUAGGAAUCUGCCUAUUAGUGGGGGACAACAUUCCGAAAGGAAUGCUAAUACCGCAUACGUCCCACGGGAGAAAGCAGGGGAUCUUCGGACCUUGCGCUAAUAGAUGAGCCUAAGUCGGAUUAGCUAGUUGGUGGGGUAAAGGCCUACCAAGGCGACGAUCUGUAGCGGGUCUGAGAGGAUGAUCCGCCACACUGGGACUGAGACACGGCCCAGACUCCUACGGGAGGCAGCAGUGGGGAAUAUUGGACAAUGGGGGGAACCCUGAUCCAGCCUUGCCGCGUGUGUGAAGAAGGCCUUAUGGUUGUAAAGCACUUUAAGCGAGGAGGAGGCUACUGAGACUAAUACUCUUGGAUAGUGGACGUUACUCGCAGAAUAAGCACCGGCUAACUCUGUGCCAGCAGCCGCGGUAA